GAUCAGGCUGUUGGUGAGGUAAUGGCCCACCAAACCUGUAACCGGUACGGGCUCUGAGAGGAGGAGCCCGGAGAUGGGCACUGAGACAAGGGCCCAGGCCCUAUGGGGCGCAGCAGGCGCGAAACCUCUGCAAUAGGCGAAAGCCUGACAGGGUUACUCUGAGUGACUUUCGCUAAGAAAGUCUUUUGGCACCUCUAAAAAGGGUGCAGAAUAAGGGGUGGGCAAGUCUGGUGUCAGCCGCCGCGGUAAUACCAGCACCCCGAGUGGUCGGGACGAUUAUUGGGCCUAAAGCAUCCGUAGCCGGUUCUGCAAGUCCUCCGUUAAAUCCAGCUGCUCAACAGAUGGGCUGCGGAGGAUACUACAGAGCUAGGAGGCAGGAGAGGCAAGCGGUACUCAGUGGGUAGGGGUAAAAUCCGUUGAUCCAUUGAAGACCACCAGUGGCGAAGGCGGCUUGCCAGAAUGCGCUCGACGGUGAGGGAUGAAAGCUGGGGGAGCAAACCGGAUUAGAUACCCGGGUAGUCCCAGCCGUAAACGAUGCAGACUCGGUGAU
rnacentral:rRNA from 1 species